ACGCUGGCGGUAGGCUUAACACAUGCAAGUCGUGCGAGAAAGUAUCUUCGGAUAUGAGUAGAGCGGCGGACGGGUGAGUAACGCGUAGGAAUCUACCUAGUAGAAGGGGAUAGCCCGGGGAAACCCGGAUUAAUACCGUAUACCUCCUUCGGGAGAAAGAAGGCCUCUCUUUGAAGCUUUCGCUACUAGAUGAGCCUGCGUAAGAUUAGCUAGUUGGUGAGGUAAUGGCUCACCAAGGCUACGAUCUUUAGCUGGUCUGAGAGGACGAUCAGCCACAUUGGGACUGAGACACGGCCCAGACUCCUACGGGAGGCAGCAGUGGGGAAUAUUGGACAAUGGGCGCAAGCCUGAUCCAGCCAUACCGCGUGUGUGAAGAAGGCCUUCGGGUUGUAAAGCACUUUAAGCAGGGAGAAAAAGUUAUAGGUUAAUACCCUAUGACCUUGAUGUUACCUGCAGAAUAAGCACCGGCUAAUUCCGUGCCAGCAGCCGCGGUAAUACGGAAGGUGCAAGCGUUAAUCGGAAUUACUGGGCGUAAAGCGCGCGUAGGUGGUUUGUUAAGUUGGAUGUGAAAGCCCUGGGCUCAACCUAGGAACUGCAUCCAAAACUAACUCACUAGAGUACGAUAGAGGGAGGUAGAAUUCAUAGUGUAGCGGUGGAAUGCGUAGAUAUUAUGAAGAAUACCAGUGGCGAAGGCGGCCUCCUGGAUCUGUACUGACACUGAGGUGCGAAAGCGUGGGUAGCGAACAGGAUUAGAUACCCUGGUAGUCCACGCCGUAAACGAUGACAACUAGCUGUUGGGAGACUAUGUC
rnacentral:rRNA from 1 species